UCAAACUUGGUCAUUUAGAGGAAGUAAAAGUCGUAACAAGGUUUCCCUGCGCGAGACCGUGUGGAGCUGGACAUCCAGCGUUGCCGGCGACUAUAAACACUGGCAUUUGCCGCAAGUCCUUCGGGGCAACACUGCACGAUUGGCGGGAACGUCUUCCAACAGGCAAUCCGCAGCCCCUAACCCGGGGGUCCACAGAUCAAGUGGCAGUGGGCUUUACCGCUUAAGAUAUGAUCGGCCUCAGCGCGCAAGCCCUGAGAUUCAGCGUCCGUAGGUGAACCUGCGGAAGGAUCAUUACUGAAUAACGGGCUCCCAAGCCCCUAUUCUCAUCCUGUGUCUACCGAACUCUGUUGCUUUGGCCGGCUUGAUUGCCGGUCGAAGGACCCAAAUUUUUGAAUCAUUGCAGUUUGAGUAGUUAUAUAAUAGUUAAAACUUUCAACAACGGAUCUCUUGGUUCCAGCAUCGAUGAAGAACGCAGC
rnacentral:misc_RNA from 1 species